UAUGAUACCUGCCUUGAGCUCCCAAGCC
rnacentral:piRNA from 1 species